rnacentral:lncRNA from 1 species
CCUUGGUCACCUCAUCUGGAAAAUGGGGAUGAAGACUGUGAGCCCCACGCGGGACGGGGACUGGGUCCAACCUGAUCGGCUGGAAUCCACCCCAGGGCCUAGGACGGUGCUCGUCGCGUAGCGAGCGCCGAACAGAUACGAUGAUUAUUAUGCUUAUCGUUCUUGCUGUCGAUAGAAGCUGCACGGAGGGGUCCCGACCUCUCGCGGAGGAGGAACCGGAUCGUUCGGGGAACAAUCUGGGCGUCCUGGGCUCGGACCGAGGCCCCCUUCUUGGCCCCUAAUGGACCUUCAGAGGGGCUGCCUCCCCUGCGGGCUGGAGACGCGGACCGGUACGAUCGCGGGAGGGGAGGUCGACCUCCCGUUCCUUCUCCCAGGCUGCUUCCGACCGGGGCUCUCCCGGUGGACGCCGGCCCCUCUCCGGACGGUGAGCAGAGCAGAUGCGGCCCCGGGGCGCCCCGGGGAUCCCUUCGGAGCCCCUCGCGAGCACAACCGCUGAGCAACCUUUAAAGAUGGCGGCCGUCCAGCCCUUUCCGAUACGCCGGCCGCGCCGGUUUUCUCCCCCGACGGCCACGUGACGGCCACUCGACUGAGCCCAACUCACUCGCUCCCCAUCCCUGCGCCGAUCUUCCG